GGGGUUAAACCACGACACUGUGAUACAGACUAAAGACUUUGAUGCUUGUGCUGGAAGUUGGCUUGGUUUAAAGGAAGCCACUCUUACAAGAGCAUUCUGCUGUUUCUGUUGCCAUGUGCCUCCUAUUUCGGCUGCUUGCUGUGAUGAAGCACCGCUUGGAGAAGAAUCAGUCAAUUGACCUCAUGUGCCUGGUGAAGCAGCAUCCAAAGGAGAAGCAGUAUCCUCAGUUUAGACGGCACCGCUGAGCGUACUUGCUGCUUGCACAUCUGCCAAACCACCAGCCCUUUGGUCAAGGGCCUAAUUGAAUUUCAGACGGCAUGGUGUCACAAAGAAACCGCAGGCAAUUAAAAUCAUCCCGAGGUCUCCCUGGCUUCCUGCUUCUAAUCUACAUUCUCAAGAAUGAAUCAAAACCGUGAGAGGAAAUUGUGUUUGGCCCUAUACUUUUUAGAGGCCUGGGGCGGAAGAGCAGGGAAGAAAAGAAAUGAGAUAUAUUUAUAAACCAAAAACUCAGAGUACGUUCAUCUGACAAUUCAAGAUCUUACUUGAGCAGACACACUGAUGUAAAGAAUAGUGCCCAUACCAUAAACCUAUGAGGUGUCACAGCUGGCAUACAGGAGUGUCUGCACAAGGCAGAGGAGUGACUUUGACGCAGGCAGCCGGCCUGGGUAGCAGAAAUGAAAAUGUAGCAUGAGAGGCGUCAGCAUGGGCUAACAACCAAGAAAAAAUUUCUACUCAGUGUCCUUCUGGUAAUGAACACUGGGAAAGUGUCUCGAGCAACACACACCUGCGGCAGGAGAAGUAGCUGAUGUUUCCUCCUGUUACUUCACUUUGACAUGUCUUUGGUUCACCUAGAUAAUGUGAUUUUUUUUCCACAUACUUCUCCUUCAAGAAUUCACUGCUUGUCACACCUAAUGAUUUAUUCACUCGUCAACCUUUUUUUAGGUUCACAAAUAUCCUGCAAAGAUAAGGCACUGGCCUUUGAAAAUAUGGUGCCAGUAAUUAAAAUGAAGAAUGCGUUACAGUAUAAAGUAGAAAUAUGAGUCUAAAAGCCACACUGGUAUUUUUAGUGAUGGGAGUAAUUGAGGAUUUCAGUUUAAUAAUUCAGUGCAGCUAAGAUUAAUAAAUGAUAUGAGGUAGACAUGGUCUUUCAAGAAGAAGGAUUUCAGGGGUACAGUUAACAAUUUAAUUUAGUAUAUCCUUAAGGAUGCUGCUGGAAUUGCUGUAUAAUAACUCAGCAGAGUCCUACAGUUUCCGAGCCUGUUUUGUAAAAGGAGGAAUAUGCAUCCUGAGUGAGGAUUACACAAAGUGAAGGGGACCCAUCUGAGAAGAAGCCAAAAAGCCUGGAAAUCCCAGCCCUGGCGCUCGUUCCUGCCAUAGUCUACAGCGAGUCCCUUCCCAUCGCUAUCGGUUUCUGCACAGGCGGCAGCGGAGGGGAGGCAGAGCAGGCUGCGGGGAGGACCAGAGUCCUGCCCGACCAUGAGCUCCCACAUUGAAGAGCCUGUUUAUGGCACAGGGUGGGCUGGAAGGAAAUCCUCUCCUUGUUUCUCAAGGCUGAGUGGAGCCUUCUCAGUUUAAAAUAAGCCUUCAGCCUGAUCCUGGCAAGAAGUAGGCCAUACCAGUAGCUGAUGAAGAAAACCAGAGGAACAUGCUUUCCCAGCCUAUACUCAUUACAGCUCUUUCUGCAUUGCUUGGCUCCUUCAUCUUUUCCCUUGCCUGUCAACACCUCCCAGACAGAGGACUCUCCGCUGGCUUCUUUCUCUCCACUGCUAAGUAACCACGAGUAACCAUGGCCAUGGCUCGCGCUCUGCCCAGUGCACUGUUCCCUGAGCCGCGUGUGGUCUCUUUGGUAUGUAGCCCUUAUAGUCCCCUGCGUUUGCUCAAAAGCAGCAGGUGAGCACAGAGCACAACAGCACACACUGGGCUGCUCUGGCUGCAUCUCAGUUUCUUGCCUGUUUGUCGGUG